GCCCAGCUCAUCAGUCACGUCGUCAAUGUUGCUCUGUUGCUCCAGUAGCGGAAUUGGCUGUUUUUCUCUCUAGAAUAAAUGUUAAAUGCCUCUAAACACAGAAACAAAUUAAAGACGUUUCCUGGUAAAAUGUGCAGUGGAAAUCGCCAGUUUACGUUUCGACGUGCAGUGAACACCAAAUAUUAUAAAAAUACAAUAACCAGUUGUAUAUUACCAGUGUGGGCAAAUUGCCAAGAUUAUGAUGGGCGGAAAAGAGGAUUAAGAUACGGAAUACCCAAGGGCCAUGGUGGUUCGGAAGUUAUUCCAGGAACAGAAGAUGUGAUGCAGGGUCCACACUGGAUGGGGCGCCAGUCCAUUGCAGGGUCUCCGGAUCCGGUUACCUAACGGCAGCCAUCUUCUGAAUUUAAGCCACACACAUGAAAAAAUACAGCUGAAAAGGACUUGGCACCAGGAUUCAGAAGAACUCCUGAACUCAAUUUUGGACUAACCAUGAAAUCUGCUGGAAUCCCAAAAUUCUGUUUAAAAAAAAAAAAAGAAAAAAACAAACAAUGGAACACGAUGUAAGUAUUAAUGGAAAAUAACACUGACACAGUUUAAAUGGAGUGCAUGAAAAUUCCCUCAGGAGGACUUAAUGGCCCCAUUCAAAUAUCAUCAGUUCACCGAGUUUUAUAAAGCUGAAACAUGCUUGUUUUUUGGUUAGUUCAGUUUUUGCUCUUCUCCCUUCCGCCUUCCUCCUUCCUCCUUCCUCCUUCUCCUCACCACCUCAUA
rnacentral:lncRNA from 1 species